rnacentral:rRNA from 1 species
AACGAACGCUGGCGGCAGGCUUAACACAUGCAAGUCGAACGGUCUCUUCGGAGGCAGUGGCAGACGGGUGAGUAACGCGUGGGAAUCUACCUGGCUCUACGGAACAACUCAGGGAAACUUGAGCUAAUACCGUAUACGCCCUUCGGGGGAAAGAUUUAUCGGAGUUGGAUGAGCCCGCGUCUGAUUAGCUAGUUGGUGGGGUAAUGGCCUACCAAGGCGACGAUCAGUAGCUGGUCUGAGAGGAUGAUCAGCCACACUGGGACUGAGACACGGCCCAGACUCCUACGGGAGGCAGCAGUGGGGAAUAUUGGACAAUGGGCGCAAGCCUGAUCCAGCCAUGCCGCGUGAGUGAUGAAGGCCCUAGGGUUGUAAAGCUCUUUCACCGGUGAAGAUAAUGACGGUAGCCGGAGAAGAAGCCCCGGCUAACUUCG